UACGUAGGGUCCGAGCGUUGUCCGGAAUUACUGGGCGUAAAGAGCUCGUAGGUGGUUUGUCGCGUUGUUCGUGAAAACUCACAGCUCAACUGUGGGCGUGCGGGCGAUACGGGCAGACUAGAGUACUGCAGGGGAGACUGGAAUUCCUGGUGUAGCGGUGAAAUGCGCAGAUAUCAGGAGGAACACCGGUGGCGAAGGCGGGUCUCUGGGCCGAUACUGACGCUGAGGCACGAAGGCGUGGGGAGCGAACGGG
rnacentral:rRNA from 1 species